rnacentral:rRNA from 1 species
UACGGAGGGUGCAAGCAUUAAUCGGAUUUAUUGGGCGUAAAGGGCGCGUAGGCGGGCUGCUAAGUCAGAUGUGAAAUCCCGGGGCUCAACCUUGGAACAGCAUUUGAAACUGGCGGCCUAGAGGGUAGGCGGAGAAAACGGAAUUCCACAAGUAGCGGUGAAAUGCGUAGAUAUGUGGAAGAACACCGGUGGCGAAGGCGGUUUUCUGGACAGAUACCGACGCUGAGGCACGAAAGCUAGGGGAGCAAACAGG